CGUGGAUCGAUUUGUCUGGCUUAUUCCGAUAACGAGCGAGACUCUAGCCUACUAAAUAGUAACGAGAUUAUCAAUGUCUCAGUUGCUUCUUAGAGGGAUUUUCGGUGUUUAGCCGCACGAGAUUGAGCAAUAACAGGUCUGUGAUGCCCUUAGAUGUCCGGGGCUGCACGCGCGCUACACUGGAGGAAUCAGCGUGCUGUAACCAUUGCCGAAAGGUAUUGGUAACCCCUUGAAAAUCCUCCGUGAUCGGGAUCGGGAAUUGCAAUUAUUUCCCUUGAACGAGGAAUUCCUAGUAAGUGUGAGUCAUCAGCUCACGUUGAAUACGUCCCUGCCCUUUGUAC
rnacentral:rRNA from 1 species